rnacentral:rRNA from 1 species
UGCAGCAACGCCGCGUGAGGGAUGACGGCUCUUCGGGUUGUAAACCUCUUUUAGCAGGGAAGAAGCGAAAGUGACGGUACCUGCAGAAAAAGCGCCGGCUAACUACGUGCCAGCAGCCGCGGUAAUACGUAGGGCGCAAGCGUUAUCCGGAAUUAUUGGGCGUAAAGAGCUCGUAGGCGGUUUGUCGCGUCUGCUGUGAAAUCCCGAGGCUCAACUUCGGGUCUGCAGUGGGUACGGGCAGACUAGAGUGCGGUAGGGGAGAUUGGAAUUCCUGGUGUAGCGGUGGAAUGCGCAGAUAUCAGGAGGAACACCGAUGGCGAAGGCAGAUCUCUGGGCCGUAACUGACGCUGAGGAGCGAAAGGGUGGGGAGCAAACAGGCUUAGAUACCCUGGUAGUCCACCCCGUAAACGUUGGGAACUAGUUGUGGGGUCCAUUCCACGGAUUCCGUGACGCAGCUAACGCAUUAAGUUCCCCGCCUGGGGAGUACGGCCGCAAGGCUAAAACUCAAAGGAAUUGACGGGGACCCGCACAAGCGGCGGAGCAUGCGGAUUAAUUCGAUGCAACGCGAAGAACCUUACCAAGGCUUGACAUAUACGAGAACGCUGCAGAAAUGUAGAACUCUUU